rnacentral:rRNA from 1 species
GACGAACGCUGGCGGCGUGCUUAACACAUGCAAGUCGAACGGAAAGGCCCUGCUUUUGUGGGGUGCUCGAGUGGCGAACGGGUGAGUAACACGUGAGUAACCUGCCCUUGACUUUGGGAUAACUUCAGGAAACUGGGGCUAAUACCGGAUAGGAGCUCCUGCUGCAUGGUGGGGGUUGGAAAGUUUCGGCGGUUGGGGAUGGACUCGCGGCUUAUCAGCUUGUUGGUGGGGUAGUGGCUUACCAAGGCUUUGACGGGUAGCCGGCCUGAGAGGGUGACCGGCCACAUUGGGGAUGAGAUACGGCCCCGACUCCUACGGGAGGCAGCAGUGGGGAAUAUUGCACAAUGGGCGGAAGCCUGAUGCAGCAACGCCGCGUGCGGGAUAACGGCCUUCGGGUUGUAAACCGCUUUCGCCUGUGACGAAGCGUGAGUGACGGUAAUGGGUAAAGAAGCACCGGCUAACUACGUG